rnacentral:lncRNA from 1 species
UCAAGCAUUUACAGACAAGAGUGGAGAAAAAUGGAAACUCAUCAAACAAAUAGUGAUAUAAGUAGAGAAGUCUGGCACAUUGAUGUUAUCACCAGAUAUGGCUUCAUAGGAGGGAACAGUGCACAUUGAAGUUGACGGCCACCGCAGCCACUGCAGGGCCCAGCCGUACCCUCAGGAAAGGUGCGAAUCUCAGAACACCCCAUACACCAGGAUCCUGUCCCCAUGAUCCUCGUGGCUUAACUCUCUGUACCUUCUUGAUUCAAUUCGGUGCCUUUUCAUUUAAUAUCUCUUUCCCUCUCCCCAAAAGAAAGAAAUUUCUAAAAAUAUAUAUAACUGUAAGCAGCAGAACGUUUUCUG